CAAGCAAAGAAGGGACACAGGUCAAAAGCAAGGACAGAAUGUGACAAGUGUAGCAGGUGAGGGGGGGUGGGGGGAGCAGACAAAAAGAGGAAUACACAGGUAAAUGAGAGCAGAAAAUGAAAGAGAGACAGCGAAAUGGUAGAAUUACAAAUGUGAAUGGAGCAACAACAGGAGAAAGAAGGAAGAAUAUAUAAAACAGGCAGAGAGAGAGACAAGAGAGAGAGAGAAAGCAAGACAGUUACAUGCUAUUAGAAUUACUUCAGAUUACCACAAUUUUGUUAUUUCAAAUUUGUUGCUCAACCAACAGGUGCAAAGUUCAUGCACGAUCUGAUUUUUUUAAUGCUUGUGCGUUAAUGAAAAGUCAACAUCAGUCUCUACUAUGAUUAAAUGCUGCUUUGCUGUAAAACAUCAUGCCUGCGUUGUAUUACACAGCAUGCAAAAAUAA